rnacentral:misc_RNA from 1 species
UUAACUUAUUAUAUAGUACUCAGACAAUAAAAAUUCAGAGUUUGGGGUCCUCUGGCAGGCACUGGCCAGCCGAAGCCAGCGGUCCGGAGACGGGCCUGCCAAAGCAACAAAGUAAUGUAAACAUAGGGUGGGAGAUCUACCCCGAAGGGCAAGUUCUCUGUAAUGAUCCUUCCGCAGGUUCACCUACGGAAA